ensembl:lncRNA
UGUACUGGGCCUCUCCUGCCCUGAGGCGCUCCUGUACUGGGCCUCUCCUGCCCUGAGGCGCUCCUGUACUGGGCCUCUCCUGCCCUGAGGCGCUCCUGUACUGGCUCAGCCCCAGACGACUCAACGCUCUUCAGUCGACAGCGGUCCUCAAGCAGCGGUCAAGUGUGUUUGAGACACUUUGGUUUCACUCCGCUCUGCCAGCCACUACUCAUCUCUGAUGAUAUACUCAAGAGGCCAUCACCUCCUCUUACCCUCCUCUCCCCUCUCCUUCUGUUCCCCUACUCCUCGUCUCCUUAUCCUCUCCUCUUCAUCAUCCCCUCCUCCUCUUCCUCCUCCUCCUCCCCUCCUCUCCACCUACUCCUCUCCCCUCCUCCUCUCUCUGUCUCCCCCUCCCUCACUUUCCUCUCUGUCUCUUCCUGUAAAGUAUGGAUCACAUAUAAACUGAGGACGAUCACUCUGCAGCCUCUGGGCGGAUCCAUGAGCCUACAGCUCCUCAUUCCAGAAGGUCUCCUCUAUGUCCUCAUUCCAGAAGGUCUCCUCUAUGUCCUCAGUCCAGAAGGUCUCCUCUGUCCUCCGUCCAGAAGGUCUCCUCUGUCCUCAGUCCAGAAGGUCUCCUCUAUGUCCUCAGUCCAGAAGGUCUCCUCUAUGUCCUCAGUCAGAAGGUCUCCUCUGUCCUCAGUCCAGAAGGUCUCCUCUAUGUCCUCAGUCCAGAAGGUCUCCUCUGUCCUCAUUCCAGAAGGUCUCCUCUAUGUCCUCAGUCAGAAGGUCUCCUCUAUGACCUCAGUCCAGAAGGUCUCCUCUAUGUCCUCAGUCCAGAAGGUCUCCUCUAUGUCCUCAGUCCAGAAGGUCUCCUCUAUGUCCUCAGUCAGAAGGUCUCCUCUAUGGCCUCAGUCCAGAAGGUCUCCUCUAUGUCCUCAGUCCAGAAGGUCUCCUCUGUCCUCAGUCCAGAAGGUCUCCUCUAUGUCCUCAGUCCAGAAGGUCUCAUCUAUGUCCUCAGUCCAGAAGGUCUCCUCUAUGUCCUCGGUCCAGAAGGUCUCCUCUAUGUCCUCAGUCCAGAAGGUCUCCUCUAUGUCCUCAGUCCAGAAGGUCUCCUCUAUGUCCUCAGUCAGAAGGUCUCCUCUGUCCUCAGUCAGAAGGUCUCCUCUAUGUCCUCAGUCAGAAGGUCUCCUCUCAG